AGAAUUGCAGGGCAAUAUACAGUUACUGAUCUUUUAUGAACACAACGAUUAGAAUUAAAAUACACAUAGGUAGAAAAGAGGCUAUAAAUUGUACAUGUACAGUGACAAAUGAUAACAGUGUGAAUGUGAAAAAUUGUGAGCUCUGCACAUCUACCUCAAGCAAUUUUCGUGCUAAUGGCAGAAUAAAGUAAUUAAAAUAGCUGCCAAGGGGGAAAUCAUCAGAAAUUUAUGUAAAGAGGAACCUCCUAAAAGAAAAGACAAUUCUGAAACAAAAUCAACUAAUGUACAAAAGAUUGAUGAAACUCAUCAACAAAGGACAAACAACACAAAAACCUCUUAUGUUGUCCCGAAAAAACGUCAGAUCAAGCACAGAAAUUUACUAAAGGCGAAUUUUCAAAAUUAAUGCUGGAUAGAAGCAAUAUGCAUCUCGAUAUUUUGAAAUAUAUUCAAAAUUGUUCAACUACAUUAAAUUAAUGCCAAAAGUAGGAGACCCCGCGAAUAGUUGUGAAGACUAUGCUGAUAAAACUAGGAAUUUUACUUAGGAGCAAAGAUCAGCAAUCCUAAAAUAUUUAUGUGACAAUGUUCAUCCAAUCACCUUGCAACACCUUGAUGUACAUGUACCAAGUCUAAUUCAUGUCACUAUUACAUGCACUUUGAUACACAGACCAUCCAACUUUGAUUCAGGCUUUUUACAUCAUAUGGCUGAUCUAGAUGCAGUUUUAAGAGCACAG